GACGAACGCUGGCGGCGUGCUUAACACAUGCAAGUCGAACGAAGUGGCGAACGGGUGAGUAACGCGUAAUCAACCUGCCCUUCAGGGGGGGACAACAGUUGGAAACGACUGCUAAUACCGCAUACUGAAGGAGGGGAUUGCGUCUGAUUAGCUAGUUGGAGGGGUAACGGCCUACCAAGGCGAUGAUCAGUAGGCGGGCUGGGAGGGUGAACUGGCAAAUUGGGAAUUGGGAACGGCCCAGACUCCUACGGGGAGCAGCAGUGGGGAAUCUUCCGAAAUGGAGGAAAGUCUGACGGAGCAAAGCCGCGUGAGUGGUGACGGCCUUCGGGUUGUAAAGCUCUGUUAAUCGGGACGCGGUACCGGAAUAGAAAGCAACGGCUAACUACGUGCCAGCAGCCGCGGUAAUAC
rnacentral:rRNA from 1 species